rnacentral:lncRNA from 1 species
UGGUUUUCUUAUGAGAUUAUAAAAACGGCUUUCUACCCCUCGUGGUAGUUUGUUUUUAAAGAAAAAUAUUUUCAUGUGGAAAACGGUUUUAAAAAUGUUUUAGCGUUCUUUAUGACUUUUAGUAUUUAAAAAUGAGUUUCCAGGUAGGAAACGUUUUAAACUGAUAGAUGUGGAUUUAUGAACAACAUAUUGUAUCCUUGUGAACGGAAUGAAUGUGAAAGUGGUUUAUGUGAUGUGGUUCUAUCUUGUACUUGUGCGACGCCGUGCAAAUAUAGAGGAGACUCUAUCCGUGUAAAUAGUGAACUUCCUGUAUUUGUGGCAGAUAUGACGUCCUCUGGGGUCAAGGCUUAAAAAAAAAAAAUUGUGCACUUCCGCAUCGGUUUUAAAACUUAAAAAGGACCCUGGGGCGUGACACAAAGGGGUAAAUCUGACAGUCGAAAACUUAUGAGUAUAAAGUAGUUUAUACUCGUUAGAGUAUAGUAGAUCGACUCUAUAUAUAUAUUUAUAUAUAAUAUAUAUUUUAAUUAUAUAUAAUAAUAUAUAUUAUGUAUUUUAAUUAUAUAUAUAUAGAGU